rnacentral:rRNA from 1 species
CGCGUAGGCGGCCUGCUAAGUCGAACGUGAAAUCCCUGGGCUCAACCCAGGAACCGCGUCCGAUACUGGUUGGCUUGAAUCCGGGAGAGGGAUGUGGAAUUCCAGGUGUAGCGGUGAAAUGCGUAGAUAUCUGGAGGAACACCGGUGGCGAAGGCGACAUCCUGGACCGGUAUUGACGCUGAGGCGCGAAAGCCAGGGGAGCAAACG